rnacentral:rRNA from 1 species
CUGAUUCUUUGAACGCACAUUGCGGCCUUGGGUCUUCCCUUGGCUUCGUCUGUCUGAGGGUCGGAU